UACAACUUUCAGCAACGGAUCUCUUGGCUCUCGCAUCGAUGAAGAACGCAGCGAAAUGCGAUAAGUAAUGUGAAUUGCAAAAUUCAGUGAAUCAUCGAAUCUUUGAACGCACCUUGCGCUUCUUGGUAUUCCGAGAAGCAUGCCUGUUUGAGUGUCAUUAAAUUCUCAA
rnacentral:rRNA from 1 species